UGGGGAAUCUUGCACAAUGGGCGCAAGCCUGAUGCAGCGACGCCGCGUGGGGGAAGAAGGCCCUCGGGUUGUAAACCCCUUUCGGCAGGGAAGAAGCCGCAAGGUGACGGUACCUGCAGAAGAAGCCCCGGCCAACUACGUGCCAGCAGCCGCGGUAAGACGUAGGGGGCGAGCGUUGUCCGGAUUUAUUGGGCGUAAAGCGCGCGUAGGCGGCCCGUUAAGUCGGGUGUGAAAAUCCGGGGCUCAACCCCGGACUUGCAUCCGAUACUGGCGGGCUGGAGGCAGACAGGGGAGAGCGGAAUUCCUGGUGUAGCGGUGAAAUGCGCAGAUAUCAGGAGGAACACCGGUGGCGAAGGCGGCUCUCUGGGUCUGUCCUGACGCUCAGGCGCGAAAGCUAGGGGAGCAAACAG
rnacentral:rRNA from 1 species